rnacentral:rRNA from 1 species
GACGAACGCUGGCGGCGUGCCUAAUACAUGCAAGUAGGACGCAGUUGCGAACGGGUGAGUAACGCGUAGGUAACUGCCUAUUAGAGGGGGCUAAAUAUUGGAAACGAUAGCUAAUACCGCAUCCUAGUAGAUGGACCUGCGUUGUAUUGGCUAGUAGGUAGGGUAAUGGGCUACCUAGGCGACGAUACAUGGCCGACCUGAGAGGGUGAUCGGCCCAACUUGGAACGAGACACGGGCCAGAACUCUACGGGAGGCCGCCGUAGGGAAAGUUCGGCAAUUGGGGGAACCCUGACCGCGCACAGCCGCGGGAGUGAAGAAGGUCUUCGGAUCGGAAAGCUAUGUUGUUAAGGAAGCGGUACUUAACCAGAAAGGGACGGCUAACUACGUGCCAGCAGCCGCGGUAAUAC